rnacentral:tRNA from 1 species
UGUCCUGUGGACACCGCACUGAUCCUUUGGCACGGCGGUAACAGGGGUUCGAAUCCCCUAGGGGACGCCA